GAUGAACGCUGGCGGCGUGCCUAAUACAUGCAAGUCGAGCGAACAGAUGAGGAGCUUGCUCCUCUGACGUUAGCGGCGGACGGGUGAGUAACACGUGGAUAACCUACCUAUAAGACUGGGAUAACUUCGGGAAACCGGAGCUAAUACCGGAUAAUAUAUUGAACCGCAUGGUUCAAUAGUGAAAGACGGUUUUGCUGUCACUUAUAGAUGGAUCCGCGCCGCAUUAGCUAGUUGGUAAGGUAACGGCUUACCAAGGCAACGAUGCGUAGCCGACCUGAGAGGGUGAUCGGCCACACUGGAACUGAGACGCGGUCCAGACUCCUACGGGAGGCAGCAGUAGGGAAUCUUCCGCAAUGGGCGGAAGCUUGACGGAGCAACGCCGCGUGAGUGAUGAAGGUCUUCGGAUCGUAAAACUCUGUUAUUAGGGAAGAACAAAUGUGUAAGUAACUAUGCACGUCUUGACGGUACCUAAUCAGAAAGCCACGGCUAACUACGUG
rnacentral:rRNA from 1 species